UCCGGCUUACACCGGCGGUCUCCUGUGAGUCCCCAUCUUUCAUGCUGGUAACACAGGACGAGGGUUGCGCUCGUUGAAGGACUUAACCUAACACCUCACGGCACGAGCUGACGACAGCCAUGCAACAAGUGUCUUCACGUCUCCUUGUGAGAGAGGGCCCUAUUUCUAGGGCUUACGAUCGAUGUCAAGUCUGGGUAAGGUUCUUCGGUUAGUAUCGAAUUAAUCCACAUGCUCCACCGCUUGUGCGGGUCCCCGUCAAUUCAUUUGAGUUUUAACCUUGCGGCCGUAAUCCCCAGGCGGGGGACUUAAUGCGUUAGCUGCGGCACGGGAGGGGUCAAUACCCCCCACACCUAGUCCCCAUCGUUUACAGCGUGGACUAC
rnacentral:misc_RNA from 1 species